AAAUGUCACAAAACAGCAGUGACCACAGUACCCCUCCAUUGGAGAUUGUGGAGCAAUCAUCAUCUAGCGGGUCACAGGAUGAAACGGAGAGGACACACUCCCAAAUGGAGACAGAAUUCAGCCAAAGACAACCUGCAACAGAUGUGGGCAGGACAACUACUCACGAGCCAAGACAGGUAUACGUGAAUAGCAAUGGAAAGAGAUGCUAAUAAAGUUUACAGCAUAAUAAUU